rnacentral:rRNA from 1 species
CCUACGGGAGGCAGCAGUGGGGAAUAUUGGGCAAUGGAGGAAACUCUGACCCAGCGACGCCGCGUGCGGGAUGAAGGCCUUCGGGUUGUAAACCGCUUUCAGCAGGGAAUAAGCGCAAGUGAAGGUACCUGCAGAAGAAGCACCGGCUAACUAUGUGCCAGCAGCCGCGGUAAUACAUAGGGUGCAAGCGUUGUCCGGAAUUAUUGGGCGUAAAGAGCUCGUAGGUGGUUUGUUACGUCGGUUGUGAAAUUCAGGGGCUCAACCCCUGACUUGCAGCCGAUACGGGCAAGCUAGAGUUUGGUAGGGGAGACUGGAAUUCCUGGUGUAGCGGUGGAAUGCGCAGAUAUCAGGAGGAACACCGAUGGCGAAGGCAGGUCUCUGGGCCAAUACUGACACUGAGGAGCGAAAGCGUGGGGAGCGAACAGGAUUAGAUACCCUGGUAGUCCACGCCGUAAACGGUGGGCGCUAGUUGUGCGAACCUUCCACGGUUUGUGCGACGCAGCUAACGCAUUAAGCGCCCCGCCUGGGGAGGUACGAGUCGCGAGAGUAAACUAACGUAAGAAGUUAGAGCGUUGAGAGNGCGAGCGACGACGAGGAGAGG